AACGAACGCUGGCGGCAUGCCUAACACAUGCAAGUCGAACGAGACCUUCGGGUCUAGUGGCUCACGGGUGCGUAACGCGUGGGAACCUGCCCUUAGGUUCGGAAUAACUCCCCGACAGGGGUGCUAUUACCGGAUCAUGUCUUCGGACCAAAGAUUUAUCGCCUCUGGAUGGGCGCGCGUUGGAUUAGCUAGUUGGUAGGGUAAAAGCCUACCAAGGCGACGAUCCAUAGCUGGUCUGAGAGGAUGAUCAGCCACACUGGGACUGAGACACGGCCCAGACUCCUACGGGAGGCAGCAGUGGGGAAUAUUGGACAAUGGGCGAAAGCCUGAUCCAGCAAUGCCGCGUGAGUGAUGAAGGCCUUAGGGUUGUAAAGCUCUUUUACCCGGGAUGAUAAUGACAGUACCGGGAGAAUAAGCUCCGGCUAACUCCGUG
rnacentral:rRNA from 1 species